rnacentral:rRNA from 1 species
UACGGAGGGGGCUAGCGUUGUUCGGAAUUACUGGGCGUAAAGAGCUCGUAGGCGGUGUGUCGCGUCGGCCGUGAAAACCUGCAGCUCAACUGUGGGCUUGCGGUCGAUACGGGGCAUCACUGGAGUUCGGCAGGGGAGACUGGAUUCCUGGUGUAGCGGUGGAAUGCGUAGAGAUCCGGAAGAACACCGGUGGCGAGGCGGCCUGCUGGGCAGUUGCUGACACUGAGGCGCGACAGCGUGGGGAGCAAACAGG